UAGGGAAUCUUCCACAAUGGGCGCAAGCCUGAUGGAGCAACACCGCGUGAGUGAAGAAGGGUUUCGGCUCGUAAAGCUCUGUUGUUGGAGAAGAACGUACCUGAGAGUAACUGUUCAGGUAGUGACGGUAUCCAACCAGAAAGUCACGGCUAACUACGUGCCAGCAGCCGCGGUAAUACGUAGGUGGCAAGCGUUAUCCGGAUUUAUUGGGCGUAAAGCGAGCGCAGGCGGUUGUUUAGGUCUGAUGUGAAAGCCUUCGGCUUAACCGAAGAAGUGCAUCGGAAACCGGGCAACUUGAGUGCAGAAGAGGACAGUGGAACUCCAUGUGUAGCGGUGGAAUGCGUAGAUAUAUGGAAGAACACCAGUGGCGAAGGCGGCUGUCUGGUCUGCAACUGACGCUGAGGCUCGAAAGCAUGGGUAGCGAACAGG
rnacentral:rRNA from 1 species